GAGUCGUGUGUUUUUGCUCACCGAUAAAACGCAGCUUGUGGACUGUGACCUCUCGCUCCUGCUGGAACUUUCCGAACGCCGGUUUCGGGGCGGGUGUCCGCCGUGCACCCAGUCUUCAAGUCAGCCUCGCAGGAAGCUUUGGAAGAGUCAGAAGUCUUGCUCACCCCACUGUGCCGCUAGCAGCAGAAGCAGUGGGAAGGGUGUUCUCUGAGCUGCCCUGGACAUUCAAGUGGCACAGUUCACCCGGUGUGUCGAGAUAGAGACCAGGAAGGAGGUGCCAAAGGUGAGAUCAUCAGGGAGAGCGGUAACCAGAACAUCUUUCUGCACAUCGUGGCCUUGUCUAAUUCCAAGAAAAUAUGGGAAUUUAUUGAAAAUUUCAAGCAGGAAAAGAAACUCAACAUUCUGACGACAGUCUCCUCGGGAGCAAUGCUGGUUCAGACACUGAAUCCCAAUGACCUAAGUGAGAAAGGACGGCACUUAAUGGAACUAUGGUCUGUGCACAAAACAAAGUUUAUUGUAGAAUGUACAUUGAUUCGGAUCCUAGUAGUUGACGGCAGGCCCUGCAAAGUUCCUGGCACAGCGGGAGUCCUCUUCAUGAGGGGCCAGGCGUGGCCGUGCUCAGACCAGGGAGGACCUUCAUCGUGCUCCUGGGAGAAGCCACAGAGGCUGCCAGCUCUCUUCUCAGUGUUUCUCGGGCCCACAGAAGAAUUGCCGAGGGCUGGCGACCAUCCGAACGGGAAGGAGCCUGGCAGAGGCGUCCCUGCCCCGCACGGCUCAGAGAGAGUAAGGAUGGUGAGAGGUCACUCCUCCCUCCUGUGGGCAGCCCUUGGCUCACCGGCCACAGAUGUCACAGCAGUGACUGUGUUCCCUGUGCUCGCUUUGGAGGGCGUGCAUGUUCAGUUCUGGAGCACUGAAAGGCAAGGGUCCAGAUCUCUUACCUGAUCUUAACAGAAACUACAGUCAUACCACCGUAUCUCAGCGUGUGACAGCUAUUUCGAAAAGCCCCAUCUGUAACUUCCACGUUGACAUUCUUGCCCUUAAACUCAACUGGGGGGGCUCCCUCAUUGUCUGUGAAGCUGCCGGCACCCAUCAGCUCCCCUGUCAUUGGUGCUGUCUGUCUCUGAAGGCCUCCCUGCCCAGUGCUCCCCCACUCCACCUCUGUCCUCCGCAUGCCCCGAGUAUGUCCCGCUUUUGCUCGCUGAUCUGCGGACCGUUGCUGGUGGAUUACUUCUCAGGCCCCGAAAUCCUGAUGUUUCAAAGAGCCAUACUUCUUCCCAGUUUUCCCAGGAAUAAACCAGUCUCUCAUUACAAAAGAGGCCCGGAUGGAGUUCUUUGCGAAGCAUAAGCAAGCUGCCCUGGGAUUGGGCAACAGCAGAGAUACAGCUGAGGCUCCCGUGCAGGGUGUGCUCUCCAGGCAUGUCCAGCGUGUGGCCCACGCUCUAAGAUGGGAGUUAACUCACAUAUUAGUGGGCAGCCCGCUCAGUGCCAGCCUGUGCCGGGGGCCUGAGGUCCCACAGCCAGCAGGGCAGAUCCUGCCCUCGCCCAGCCUAGGUACAGCGAAGGCUAGAGUGGCAUGACCCCCUUGGGAAAGGGGCAGAUCUGGGCACUAAUUUCACAGGGAGGGGCUCGGGAGGCCCAGGCAGUGUGCAGCAUGACUUCCUUCAUUGUCAUGGUCACUAUCUUAUGCUCCUUCCACCUCCUGAGGGGGGGCCAGGGUGCAGCCCUGGGUUCCAGGGAGGUGUCCAUAAAGAGCUGAUCAGGAGGACCGGGAAGCGACAUCUGUGCACACUGCUGUCCCACACGAGGCUUGUGGGACGAGCGCCUGCAGCCAGCUCCCUUGCCUCACACCUGAGGGCGUCUUCUCUCUCCAGUCUCCCUGGUCCAGAGGCGGCGGAGGGUUCUAACUGAGCGGGGGACCCGAGGGCACCUGGCUCCAUUGCUCAUCGUGCCAGGAAGGUCGAAGCCUUUAACUUCCGUGCAGAGCAGCCACAGGAUUGACUCUCCCCAGGAACGACCUAAAACCAGAGUAAAGAGGACUAGGGAAUUGCUUUAAGAGGGGCACAUUGGGACUAGAAAGGAAGAAGCCUUGUCCUCAGAGGCAGUGCUUUGGUCUCCAGUUUGCAUUGGGCGUGGCUGAGGGGGGCAGUGCUGGAGUCGGGGGGACCACUGGGGGGCCCCUCCUCCACGAGCUGUCCUGACUCCGGCAGCCUGGUGACAGAGGGGGCUGGUAAACGCUGGCUUUCCCGUGUCAGAGAGGCAUGAACCGGGGCCGAGGGAAGUUGAUGGGAGACCGAUGGGGACCUGGGGACAGGCCCAGGCCCCCGCACCCCGACCCAGGUUUCUAGACAUGGCGAGUGUGCAAAGGUAAGUAAUAAUCACUAAGGAGACAACUGGAAUUAUCUGGAAGCAUGUUGGAACAGAAGGCGAGCACAGCUCUCUUCGGGAUCUGCCCUUCCCAACUUUUAUGAGGAGCUCUCGGGAAAGACCUCCUAAAACAAGGGAACUAAACCCAGCAGCAGACACCCCCAUACACCCGAGGUGCCAAGGGCCACUCCCAGUGCCACCUGGGUACGAUGCGUGUGUCCUCACGGCCCCCAGGGGAUGGGCACCGCUGUCACCCCGUUUACAGGGGGGAACCAAGCACAGAGGCUGCCGGCCCAGCCGGGCCCGGCCACAGCGUCUGGGAAGCACGCUCUCGAACACCGCUGCCCCCUCUCCGAGAGCCGGUUUGUUAGAAGCCUAAUUUGGAUACACAUCCUUGGAGUCCGUCCUAAGAAAUAAUUAAAGAUCUGGGAAACGAGGCUGCUCGUCGCAGCACUAGUGAGAGAGGGAGGUGAUAAAUUAUGGAACACCUGUACAAGAAAUCUGUUCAAACCUGAAAACCCCGCCGUAGAUGAAUGUCUGUGGGAGACGAAAACUGCACUGUGUCAUUAAAUGAAGAGAUCCGGUUCCAAAACCGUGCGUGCCUUGUGGUCCGAUUCUUCCUAUACCCGCGCGGCCGUAGAAGGAGACGUGUGUUGGUGCUGGGGAGCGUGCUGCGGAACCCCGGCUCGGAGACCUGGCCCAGAUUAGCCCUCUGAUGCACAGACCCGAGGAGGCUCUGAAUAGCCUGUGACGAAUGCCCAGGGGAUGUUCUCAGGGAAGCACACGCCCCAGGAGCGACUCAGGCCAGGAGUGCUGGGAGAGCGGCUUCUCGGUUCUUCUCCCUUCCUGAGGGAGACGUGCUUGGCUCUGCCUGACCGAGGCGAGCGCCAUCAGGCCGCGGAGGGCCCCCUGCCCCUUGGUGCUCUGGGCACAUCAUCCGGACACCUCCACCGUCAGCCUGUGUGCUUACAAAAUCUCCGCCAGCAAGCCCACCGCCCGGAUCUGUGCGCCUGGCCCACAGGUCACAGAGCGACGACCAGGCCUCUUGGGUUCAGGCAGCCCGGCUGUGGCCCUGGAGACCCGAGGGAGGGCUGGACAGGGGGACUGAGCACAUGGACGCCUGUCCUCCAUGAGCACUGCAACAGAAGGCGCCAGAUUCCUUCUUGCUCUUCGGUAUUUCCUCAUUUUACCAUAAUAAACAAGUAAGUACUGCUUCUGUAAAAAAGAAGAAAAAAGCUUAUUUUUAAUUUAAAAAAUGAGAGCCCUACGUGACACGAUCCUUUCUAGCUCUGACAUCCUCUGAUCUCAUUACAGCUCUUGAAGGUUUACUCUGGUUUCUUUUCUUUCCUUGGCUUCCCAGGAGAAUGCUUUUGUUUCCCAGUGCGCUCACUGUAGAGACGCCGUGUUCCCGGAGGCCCGUGGGCAAACGGACCGCCGCCUGCAGCCGGCAGUGGGGCCCCGGGGAGGUGACCCGGAAGAAAACACUUUAGCAAUUCAAGAAGCCACCGGCCAGGAUACUCUGAGAGGCCAGACUCAUUGGAGCAAGAUAGCCGACCUGGGAGGCGGGAGUCUGAGCGUUCGAGCGGCCUCGGCCUCAGCGCGGCCCUCACGCCGUUGGAAGGAGACCCGGGUCUAGCAUGCAGAGGGAAGGGGGGCCGUGCAGGGGAUUUCGCUCCCAGGGGAUGGGCUGGGACGGGUGCCCAUGUCCCAGGGCCCGGAGGGCACAGGACCCAACUCGCUCGCAGGCUCUGGCGGGCAGCACUUUCCACCCAGGCCGAGGGGCGACCCCUCAGGGCCUAACAAGAAGGUCUGGAAGCCGAGCAGCUUGGCUGAGUGCUGUUUUGAAGGGGAAAGAGGGCAGUUCCCGAUCACAGUCCUUUGUGUUACUAGCGGUACUGGUAUUAAAAGGAGGCCAGCCAUCCACAGUCUCUUCUUGAGAAUGCCGUCCUAA